rfam:Lingula anatina scaffold653, whole genome shotgun sequence.
CAAACGGUCCUUUUCAGGACCACCCAUGUUUUCCAAGAAAAGCUAU